rnacentral:rRNA from 1 species
GUAGUCCGCGCCCUAAACGAUGCGCACUAGAUCGGUGCCGGUUUUACCCGGUAUUGGUCGUAGAGAAAUUGCUAAGUGCGCCGCCUGGGGAGUACGGUCGCAAGGCUAAAACUCAAAGAAAUUGACGGGGGCUCACACAAGCGGUGGAGCAUGUUGCUUAAUUCGAAGCAACGCGAAGAACCUUACCUGGGUUUGACAUGCACGGAUUAGCUCCUGGAAACAGGAGUAAGGCCCGCAAGGGUACAACGUGCACAGGUGCUGCAUGGCUGUCGUCAGCUCGUGCUGUGAAGUGUUUGGUUAAGUCCAUUAACGAGCGCAACCCCUGUCGCUAGUUGCUAACGGGUAAUGCCGAGGACUCUAGCGAGACUGCCGCUGUAAAGCGGA